rnacentral:rRNA from 1 species
AGGAUUAGAUACCCUGGUAGUCCACGCCCUAAACGAUGAAUACUAGAUGUUUGGUACCUAGCGUACUGAGUGUCGUAGCUAACCCGAUAAGUAUUCCGCCUGGGAAGUACGGCCGCAAGGUUAAAACUCAAAGGAAUUGACGGGGGCCCGCACAAGCGGUGGAGCAUGUGGUUUAAUUUGAUGCAACGCGAAGAACCUUACCUGGGCUUGACAUGUCCGGAAUUCUGCAGAGAUGCGGGAGUGCCCUUCGGGGAAUCGGAACACAGGUGCUGCAUGGCUGUCGUCAGCUCGUCUCGUGAGAUGUUGGCUUAAGUCUCGCAACGAGCGCAACCCUUGUCCUUAGUCAGCCAGCGGUUCGGCCGGGCAUUCUAGGGAGACUGCCGGUGACAAUCCGGAGGAAGGUGGGGAUGACGUCAAGUCCUCAUGGCCUUUAUGUCCAGGGCUACACACGUGCUACAAUGGCGGGUACAGAGCGAAGCCUAGCCGCGUGUAGGAGCAGACCCCAGAAAGCCAGUCGCAGUUUGAAUCCCAGUAUGCCACUACAGUGCAUGAAGUCGGAAUCGCUAGUAAUCACGGAUCAAGCAUGCCGCGGUGAAUACGCUCCCGGCCGU